rnacentral:rRNA from 1 species
CAGCUCGUCAUGCUAGAGCACUUUUUCAAUGGGCUCCCCAACGACAAGGCGACAACGCAUUCAUAUGUCAUCCUUAUCAACUUUUGAUGCCAUUUACUGUGCUGACCAUGGUGACCACGUGUAACGGGGAAUCAGGGUUUGAUUCCAGAGAGGGAGCCUGAGAAACGGCUAUCACAUGCAAGGAAGGCAGCAGGUGCUCAAAUGACCCACUCCCGACGCGGGAAGGUAGUGA